UCAGAUAAUACAUAUGAUGAGGCUGUCACUUAGUGAAGGAUUCUGGAUAAUUAGUUUGGCGCUGUGGGGCUUGAUGAGCAUUGCGAUGAUCACAGUGCCAUGUACUUUGACAAAUGUCUGGUGCAACCCCUAAUACCAAUCUACUUAAUUGUGGCUGGAGUUAUCCACUUAUUAGCCAUCCUAUUGCUGCCAUUAAAGUAUCUUUCCCCCCAGUUAUCUGGAGUAUUAGAGGGGGUUCUCUUAGCUUGUAUGGUUUGUUGGAUAAUUGCUGGUAAUGUGUGGAUUUUUCCCACAUACACAAUGCAUACAGCCCUAUGUAACAGUGUCCUAUAUCGAUUCUCCUUUGGUGUCCUCAUAUUGCAGUAUAUAUACCUUAUUUUAGUCUCUGUCACAAUGCGGGCUCAAGAUCCUCAGUAAAGCCUCCCUCAUCUGAGAACAUCAAGAGAGGUCCAACCAGAAUGUUUCUUAUAACAGAAGAUUCCAUCAAAUUACAGAAAGAAUGUUGGACUGAAGAUGUUAGAUGUUUUUACUAAUACAUGUAUAUGUAUGUUGCAUUGUUACUCUAGUCAUCAUUAUACAAACAUAAAGCCACAGUGCCACAGAGACCCUUCACAACGUCACAAUUUUUCUGUAUAAAGAGAAACCAAAUUAUUAAUAUAAGAAAACUAGUGGUUUAAACAUCUAGGAUAAGGGCUGGCAUGGGUGCUCAUCACUGGUUUUAAUUGAUCUAUGGCAAUGUAGGGGUGUGUCUUGGUUUGGGGGUUUAUUUAAAGACUUGGACUGUGGCCAAAAAAUGACUCUCCUGGAUUCUGUCCCAGAUGUGUUGUUGCGCUUGCACCCAAGAAUAAUAGGAAUGAUGGAGAGGGUGGAUCUGAGAAGAUCUGCACAUACUGUACAUACAAAAAGAAUAGGAAUAAAGGGUGGUAUCUGAUGAGUUCCCUCUACUCUCUCUGAUAGCUCUUUCUAUAGCAAACAGUUGUCAGGUUAGCUUUUCAGAGCAUUUUAAAUGGACAAGACCGCCCUUCCCAUACAGGGGUUCAGUGUGUAUUGUUUACAAUAAAAU